rnacentral:misc_RNA from 1 species
AAAGUCGUAACAAGGUUUCCGUAGGUGAACCUGCGGAAGGAUCAUUAUCGAUUCAAGAGGAUGUGCUGGCUCCCUUUUGCAGGGAGCAAAUUGUGCACUCUUCAAUCUCACUCUAUUCACCUGUGCACAACUUGGUAGGCAAUGGAAGGGGAACAACACUUCCCUGGAAAUUGUCUAUUGUCUUUUUUAUACACACCUUCAAAUGUCUUGAAUGCAAUUGAACAAAUAUAAAGUUGUAACAACUUUCAACAAUGGAUCUCUUGGUUCUC